rnacentral:misc_RNA from 1 species
GAUGAAGAACGCAGUGAAAUGCGAUAAGUAAUGUGAAUUGCAGAAUUCAGUGAAUCAUCGAAUCUUUGAACGCACAUUGCGCCCGCUGGUAUUCCGGCGGGCAUGCCUGUUCGAGCGUCAUUUCAACCCUCAAGCUCUCCGGAGUUUGGUGUUGGGGCGCCUGGGGCUUUUCGACCUCAGGGCCCUCAAGUCCAUCGGCGGGACCGCCAGGACACUGAGCGCAGUAGUAUUAUUUCGCUCGGUAGGAUCUUUCACGGCGGGUCGAUCUGGCCGCUAAACCCCCCAAUUCUCACCAAAGGUUGACCUCGGAUCAGGUAGGAAUACCCGCUGAACUUAAGCAUAUCAAUAAGCGGAGGA